GACAGAGGGUGCAAACGUUGUUCGGAAUUACUGGGCGUAAAGCGUGUGUAGGCGGCUUUGCAAGUCGGAUGUGAAAGCCCCGGGCUCAACCCGGGAAGUGCACUCGAUACUGCAGGGCUAGAGUGUCGGAGAGGUUGGUGGAAUUCCUGGUGUAGCGGUGAAAUGCGCAGAUAUCAGGAGGAACACCGGUGGCGAAGGCGGGUCUCUGGGCCGAUACUGACGCUGAGGAGCGAAAGCGUGGGGAGCGAACAGG
rnacentral:rRNA from 1 species